rnacentral:rRNA from 1 species
GUGUUGAUGACACAGGGGGUCCACCCGUUCCCAUGCCGAACACGGAAGUUAAGCCCUGUAGUGCCGAAAAUACUCGGAUGGUGACGUCCCGGGAAGAUAGG